AAUGAACGCUGGCGGCAGGCCUAACACAUGCAAGUCGAACGGGUCCUUCGGGACUAGUGGCGGACGGGUGAGUAACGCGUGGGAACGUGCCCCUUGGUACGGAAUAGCCCCGGGAAACUGGGAGUAAUACCGUAUGUGGUCGAGAGACGAAAGAUUUAUCGCCAAGGGAUCGGCCCGCGUUGGAUUAGGUAGUUGGUGGGGUAAUGGCCUACCAAGCCGACGAUCCAUAGCUGGUUUGAGAGGAUGAUCAGCCACACUGGGACUGAGACACGGCCCAGACUCCUACGGGAGGCAGCAGUGGGGAAUCUUAGACAAUGGGGGAAACCCUGAUCUAGCCAUGCCGCGUGAUCGAUGAAGGCCUUAGGGUUGUAAAAGAUCUUUCAGGUGGGAAGAUAAUGACUGUACCACCAGAAGAAGCCCCGGCUAACUCCGUGCCAGCAGCCGCGGUAAAAAGUACUCUAAU
rnacentral:rRNA from 1 species